GCCAGGCAUGGUGGCACAUGCCUGUAAUCCCAGUGGCUCAGGAGGCUGAGGUAGGAGGAUGGAGAGUUCAAAGCCAGCCUCAG
rnacentral:sRNA from 1 species